AAAAUUGCGAACACAUGGUUCGAGAGGAAGUUUCAUCGGCAAAUCAGUCUGUCACUUGAAUAAACUACAAUAGUUAUAAGGAGAGACAAAGUGACUCUUUAAAUAUUAUGGAAACUGGCAAGACUGCCUUUCCUUUGGGGGCUUAAAAUAACACAGCUGCCGCCGAGCGAAGAGAAAGCACCAGCAGGCUGCACGCAUCUCAUGCCGGGAUGCCCCAGCUUACCAGGGAAGCACCUCCACCCACUGGCCGUGGGCCAAGUGCCGAUUCUCCAGCAGGACAGAGCAGCUCCAGAUCAGACCUUUCGGCUCCCUCAGCUCAGCAGGAAAAGAGAGCGGGCGAAUUUGAGGCCACAGGGCAGCGUCUGUGCACAGACACGUGAUAAAGGCAGCAUGGUGUUACGCUGAAUGGCAAAUUCACAGUGCGUGCCUACUGCCUUUUGGGCCCUCUUAACUGCUAUCAAGUUUUUGGCCUGUGUCUGGAGGAGGGUUAAUGGGCUGCAUCUGGAGGGUGUGUGCUAUUCCCACCUAAUUACCAGGCCUUUGGAAGUAAGAGUUACUGGGCUGGACCACCACAACACCGGUGUGAGUGAGACCAGGCUCAGAGCCACAGCCAGCCUUAGAGAACGGAUUUAUCUGACUGUUCCUGUCACUUUUUUGAAGAUAGCACCAGGCAGUUGCAAACAACAAAACAAAGUAUUGGAAGGACAGGCAUGGGCAGAGACAGACCACACAUCCCUUCAGCCCUGGUGAAGCAAGCCUGGGUAUCCGUGGGGAAAGCUGUGCCACAGGGAGGCUUUUCUGUGAGGAUGAAGUGUUAAUGAUGAAGAUCAUCUGAGGGUGAGGCAUUCAGAAGGGAUCACCUCACUGAUGGCACAUGGACUGAUGCUACGUGCCUCAGAUCCAGACAAAUCUCAUAUCACGUCCACAUGAUCUAGGUGCCAAAUUCAAACCUUAGAGGUCGCUUUAAAAUAUCACAACUAUUUCACAAUUAUUUCAGUAGAAAACCAUGCAUGGAAAGGAUGCUGAUACUCUUUCCAUGGUCUCCACUUCUCCACUAGGCCUUACAUUAUCAACUCCUUUGCUAACUCAGUCACAUGCGCUAUUCAUAGAGAUUCGAGAAAAGAGCCCUCAAGCCUUUUCCCAUGUUCAACAGCAAGACUCUACCCACACAAAUACCUAAAAUACUUCACUUUUAAGUAAUAAAAUAGGAAAAAAAAAAAAAGUGCACUGGAAAUGAGUUCCCAUA